GACAGAGGGUGCAAACGUUGUUCGGAAUUACUGGGCGUAAAGCGAGUGUAGGCGGUCUUAUAAGUCGGGUGUGAAAGCCCCGGGCUCAACCCGGGAAGUGCACUCGAAACUGUGAGGCUAGAGUAUCGGAGAGGUUGGUGGAAUUCUCGGUGUAGAGGUGAAAUUCGUAGAUAUCGAGAGGAACACCGGUGGCGAAGGCGGCCAACUGGACGAAUACUGACGCUGAGACGCGAAAGCGUGGGGAGCGAACAGG
rnacentral:rRNA from 1 species